rfam:Tenericutes bacterium GWD2_38_27 gwd2_scaffold_9566, whole genome shotgun sequence.
UUAAAAGAACUGAAUCUGCCAAAGACAGUGGGUGCACUUGCUUAAUUUCCCACCGAGGUGAAACAUAAUCUAACGAUUACUAUCUCUCUUUUGUCUUUCGGCACAGAGAGAUUUUAUUUUUCAGAA